rnacentral:misc_RNA from 1 species
GGAGGGAUCAUUAACAAAUCAAACACACACCCUGUGUAAGCGUCUGUUCCUGGCUGGGUCAAGUGGGGAGUGCGCACAAAAGAAUGAAUAGUGUGGGGUCAUGGGGGAGAAGCGGGCAACCGCCGAUACUCCGCCCGCCGAGUCGCGCGCCCACCAGGAUCAACAACCCCCAAACCAUAUCAUGAUUGUCAGCUGUAUUACAAAGUGUAAUUACAAACAACUUUUAACAAUGGAUCUCUUGGCUCUUGCAACGAUGAAGAACGCAGCAAAAUGCGAUAUGUCGUGUGACCUGCAUACUUCGUGAAUCAUCAAAUCUUUGAACGCAACUUGCACCUUGUGACUUGUCACUAGGUAUACUUGUUUGAGUAUCACAUUCAUCUGUCUCACCCCGUGGGGAGUGGUGGAGAGAGACGAUUUGAGUGCUGUGGCCUUGGGUGGUGGCCACUCGCUUGAAAUAUAGGUUGUCCGUGUGCCGACAGCAGCAUGCCUGAUGGGAUAACAUCCUUCAGAGGGCGCUGUGGCGCAGUGAGCGGCAACAAGACUGGAGGAGGUGCGUGUGUAUGUAUGUAUGUAUAUAUGUAUGUAUGUGUGCGCACACACACCAAGUCCACCGGGUGGGGGAGAGCUUGCUCUCGCUCACUCACAUCACUGAUCUCAAAUCAAGUAAGGAUACCCGCUGAACUUAAGCAUAUCAGUAAGCGGAGGAAAAGAAACUAACAAGGAUUCCCGUAGUAACGGCGAGUGAACUGGGAAAAGCUCAAAUUUAAAAUCUGGCACCUUUGGUGUCCGAAUUGUAUUUGAUAGAGCUGUCUUGUGGCUACGGUGCGCUGGUUCAAGUCCCUUGGAAAAGGGCGUCAGAGAGGGUGACAACCCCGUGGGGACCAGUGUCUGUGGCCAGUAUCAAGGCAGUUCGACGAGUCGGAUUGUUUGGGAAUGCAGUCCAAAAUGGGUGGUACAUUUCAUCUAAAGCUAAAUAACGGCAAGAGACCGAUAGCGAACAAGUACCGUGAGGGAAAGAUGAAAAGAACUUUGAAAAGAGAGUUAAACAGUACGUGAAAUUGUUAAAAGGGAAACGAUUGAGACCAGUGUGACUGGCAUCACUUCAGCGUCCCAGACGGGGCGUGCAGUGUGGUGUCAGUGGGUGGACCCCCAUUCGGUGUCCUGGACAAGACCACGGGGAAGGUGGCCCACGCAAGUGGCGCUUUACAGACCCGCGGGGAUACAGGAAGCGCCGGAUGGGUAGUGAGCCUCGUGCUCGGGACCACGAAAUGGUCUUAAACGACCCGUCUUGAAACACGGACCAAGGAGUCUAACAACUAUGCGAGUAUUCGAGUGGCAAACUUGGAUGCGCAAAGAAAUUGAAUGCGCGUGGGAGCCUUCGCAAGGGGGUGCACCAUGGGCCGGUCCUUGACUUGUCUUGGAUCGAGCUAGAGCAUAAGUGUUGGGACCCGAAAGAUGGUGAACUAUGCCUGAAUAGGGUGAAGCCAGAGGAAACUCUGGUGGAGGCUCGUAGCGAUUCUGAUGUGCAAAUCGAUCGUCAAAUUUGGGUAUAGGGGCGAAAGACUAAUCGAACCAUCUAGUAGCUGGUUCCCUC